rfam:Brenneria sp. EniD312 chromosome, whole genome shotgun sequence.
UUUCUGUAAUUAAACAACAGGAUUGUGUGACGUGGUUUGACUUUGUGUAAAGCGUCGCCACUUUUCAUGAAAGUAAACAACAAAAAAACUUUGUUCCGACGAAAAAAUAGGGUAG